UACGGAGGGUGCAAGCGUUAUCCGGAUUCACUGGGUUUAAAGGGUGCGUAGGCGGGCAGGUAAGUCCGUGGUGAAAUCUCUGAGCUUAACUCAGAAACUGCCAUGGAUACUAUCUGUCUUGAAUAUUGUGGAGGUAAGCGGAAUAUGUCAUGUAGCGGUGAAAUGCUUAGAUAUGACAUAGAGCACCAAGUGCGAAGGCAGCUUGCUGGGGCUGCGCUGACGCUGAGACACGAAAGCCAGGGGAGCGAACGGG
rnacentral:rRNA from 1 species